rnacentral:rRNA from 1 species
UACAGGAGGUCCCGAGCGUUUGUUCGGAUUCAGCUAGGGCGUAAAGGGUGCGUAGGUGGCUUGGUAAGUUUGAUGUGAAAGCUCGAGGGCUCAACCCUGAAAUGGCAUUGAAUACUACUGAGCUGGAGGUUUGGAGGGGGACGUGGAAUUCGUCGGUGUAGCAGUGAAAUGCGUAGAGUAUCGAGAGGAACACCAGUGGCGAAGGCGGAGUCCCUGGGACAACACCUGACACUGAGGCACGAAGCUAGGGGAGCAAACAGG